rnacentral:tRNA from 3 species
CGCGGGGUGGAGCAGUUCGGUAGCUCGUCGGGCUCAUAACCCGAAGGUCGUAGGUUCAAAUCCUACCCCCGCAACCA